rfam:Gossypium hirsutum cultivar TM-1 chromosome 18, whole genome shotgun sequence
AAUCCAUGCAUCAGAUAUUUCUAAAUUAAGUCUUUAAAUUGUUCCCAAGCUUCAUAUUGUGUUUCAUCCUUUGAUUGCUGAUAAGAUGUGAUGUAAUUUCUAAGCUU